ensembl:lncRNA
UACCAAAGAGUGUACAUGCAGAACACUAGUCUACUCCAGAGCUCUCUAGCUUGUCCUGAAUGUCACUGGAACAGUGACGUGUUCAUACCCAUCUCAGUGACGUGCUCAUACCCAUCUCAGUGACGUGCUCAUACCCAUCUCAGUGUGUGCUCAUACCCAUCUCAGUGUGUGCUCGUACCCAUCUCAGUGACGUGCUCGUACCCAUCUCAGUGACGUGCUCGUACCCAUCUCAGUGACGUGCUCAUACCCAUCUCAGUGACGUGCUCAUACCCAUCUCAGUGACGUGCUCAUACCCAUCUCAGUGUGCACUCAUACCCAUCUCAGUGACGCGCUCAUACCCAUCUCAGUGUGCGCUCAUACCCACCUUUGCAGCUCUGAGUCAGAGUCCCUACUGGGCCUGCAGGUCUGAGUCAGAACCCCUAUUGGGCCUGCAGCGCUGGGUCAGAAUCCCUACUGGGCCUGCAGCUCUCUCCCGGCACUGAGGCAGUCAGUGGUCCAGGGAGCCCCAGGAUUAUGUAUUAACACUGCAUGCUGCAGCCCCUGAGGAGUCUUUGUCAAUGCCUGCUCAAAAGCAGACACUGACUCUGUAUGCACAUAAGGGUCCUGACAGCACACUCUAGUCUUAUUUCACUGCCAGGCUGAGAUCCCAAUUCCAGUCAAGUGAGAGAGCUGAUGUUAGACACCUUUCCCAAGCUCUGUAUCUACCUAUCUAGCACUGUCAGUGUGAUUAACAGCAGUAGACAGCUAUCACUGUGGGCCUAUAUGUUCGCACCCAUAGCUAUGUUUUAUCUGCUGAUGUUAUAACCUCUCAUAGUAUAAUAUAAGCCUCCCCAAGCCUCCAGAUAUUAUCUGGCCUGUGUAAGGCGGUGAAGGUUGGGUCUUAACAGGGUUGUCACUGCGCCAUAAGUCUGCCAUGGUAUGAUGCACACCAAGGUAUCGCAAUAGCAAGUAGUACUUGAGAGUUGGCUCUGUUGCUAUCAGUGGGAUGCGGUGUGUGUGUGUAUGAGGAGUAGGGCAUGUGUGUGUGUGUGUGUGUGUGGGAGGAGUAGGGCAUGUGUGUGUGUGUGUGUGUGAGGAGUAGGGCAUGUGUGUGUGUGUGUGUGUGAGUGAGGAGUAGGGCAUGUGGGUGUGUAUGUGCGAGGAGUAAGGUGUGUGUGUGUGAGGAGUAGGGCAUGUGUGUGUGUGUGUGAGGAGUAGGGUGUGUGUGUGUGUGUGUGUGAGGAGUAGGGUGUGUGUGUGUGUGUGUGUGAGGAGUAGGGCAUGUGUGUGUGUGUGUGUGUGUGUGUGUGUGUGUGUGUGUGUGUGUGUGUGUGUGUGUGUGUGUGUGUGAGGAGAAGGGCAUAUUAUCUGUAGUAGAUGUCUGUUCGAGAAGCUGCCACCAGUGCCAUGUUUCUGUCACUAACUCUUCAGUGCCAUGACAAUGAUGACGACGACGAUGAUGAUGAAAAUACUAAUAAUCAUUUGGGUUAUUACCAAUGAUUAGAAUUACAUUUCGAGGAUAUAGUAAUUCAUACGUACAGAUGUUACAGGGAUAGAAAACAGUAGUUGGUUGUUGCUAUGCAACAAAGUUACAAAUAAUGGAACAUGUGCACAUGUUAGUGAAGUAGGAAGCAGAAUGACACAACUACAGGUUGCUGGGUUACAAAACAGUGUUGUUAUGGGAAUAAACAGAUAUUGCCACUGGAACUACCUGUCGAAUAGACCACCUUAGUAUUAAUCAGUCCAGAUCCACCCAGUUUGUGAGAGAGACACACGCAUUGCCUGCUGAUUCCCAGGGUGUGUGAGGUGUGUGAGUCUAGACCCAGGAGAGAGCAGACACGCUGGGAGUGUGAUCUGUGCAGAGACAGCUUCAUGAGAAGUGUCACGCCUGAGGAGCCCUACUCAAUGUGUGUGUGU